UACGUAGGGUGCGAGCGUUGUUCGGAUUUACUGGGCGUAAAGGGCGCGUAGGCGGCAAUUCAAGUCAGCUGUGAAAUCUCCGGGCUUAACUCGGAACGGUCAGCUGAUACUGCUUUGCUAGAGUGCAGAAGGGGCAAUCGGAAUUCUUGGUGUAGCGGUGAAAUGCGUAGAUAUCAAGAGGAACACCUGAGGUGAAGACGGGUUGCUGGGCUGACACUGACGCUGAGUGCGCGAAAGCUAGGGUAGCAAACGGG
rnacentral:rRNA from 1 species